AAUAAAUUAUUUUUUGACUUUGCACAAAAAGGUUAGGCGAAAUAUUGUCUAAAAAGCUAUACAAUAGAUAUUUGUCGUUUUUUUUUAUGUACGCGAUAAAACGUUUGUUUUGUGACGAUUAAAUAUUGGAUAAAUUUUUUGCUUUUUUAUUCUACAACAUUUUUAACACAUUUGAUAUGAUAUGACAGCUAAAAAUGACUCCAAGUUUUUGAUGAUACCGUUAAUGAUAAUAACGAUACCUAAUAAAGAAAAGAAAAAAGGUGUUGUGCCUAGUGGGUUUUGGGAGGCUCCGACCCACUAGCCACAGCACUGCAUGCUCUCAUUAUGUUUACAUUUGCUUUCCUAUUCUUUUGAAAAAACAAAUAAGUGGAGACUUACCUUUAAUCUUUUUACACACAUAUAAAUAUCUUUAAUUGUAUUUUUUUAUAUAAGAAAACUUUUUGUAUUUGUUA